CCUACGGGAGGCAUCAGUGGGGAAUAUUGGACAAUGGGGGGAACCCUGAUCCAGCCAUGCCGCGUGUGUGAAGAAGGCCCUCGGGUUGUAAAGCACUUUCAGUGAGGAAGAACGCCUGGUGGUUAAUACCCAUCAGGAAAGACAUCACUCACAGAAGAAGCACCGGCUAACUCCGUGCCAGCAGCCGCGGUAAUACGGAGGGUGCGAGCGUUAAUCGGAAUUACUGGGCGUAAAGCGCGCGUAGGUGGCUUGAUAAGCCGGUUGUGAAAGCCCCGGGCUCAACCUGGGAACGGCAUCCGGAACUGUCAAGCUAGAGUGCAGGAGAGGAAGGUAGAAUUCCCGGUGUAGCGGUGAAAUGCGUAGAGAUCGGGAGGAAUACCAGUGGCGAAGGCGGCCUUCUGGACUGACACUGACACUGAGGUGCGAAAGCGUGGGUAGCAAACAGGAUUAGAUACCCGUGUAGUC
rnacentral:rRNA from 1 species